rnacentral:rRNA from 1 species
UACGUAGGGGGCAAGCGUUGUCCGGAAUUAUUGGGCGUAAAGAGCUUGUAGGCGGUUUGUCGCGUCUGCUGUGAAAUCUCGGGGCUCAACCCCGAACUUGCAGUGGGUACGGGCAGGCUAGAGUGUGGUAGGGGAGACUGGAAUUCCACGUGUAGCGGUGAAAUGCGUAGAUAUGUGGAGGAAUACCGAUGGCGAAGGCAGCCUCCUGGGCCAACACUGACGCUCAUGCACGAAAGCGUGGGGAGCAAACAGG